GUGCUCGCUUCGGCAGCACACAUAUUCUAAAAUUGGAACGAUACGGGGAUUAGCACGGCCCCUGCGCAAGGGCGGCACGCAAAUUCGUGAGGCGUUCCAUACCUUU
ensembl:snRNA LOC120098049 U6 spliceosomal RNA